CUGACCAAGAAGGCCAUGCCCCACCUCCCCUACCUAAAGCCCCAAAUAAAAACCCCUACCCAUUUCUUAACGGGGAGCAAGCAACUUUUGGGGAACUAGCCCUUGCUUUGCUCCCUCUGCCUGGCAAAGUAAAGCCUUUCCUUUCGCACCGAAGACUCUGUUCUCUUAUUUGGAUUGACAUCGGGAUCAGAGACUGAACUUUCGGUAGCAGUGGGUGAGAAACAAGCUGGACAAGGAGGGCCAAAAUGUACUGAGCUAAACAAAAAUCUGGACACAUGGGUCGUGUGUCUCGUCUGGGUAAGGGGCGCUGUUUUGCGAGACUUGUGGGGGUGCGCAAACGGGGUGUCUGGAACAUUUCCAUAGCCGACGGAGGCGGUGGGAUAGGGUUUUUGAAAUCUGGACUUAGAUUUCCGGCGUCUGAUCUUCCCCAGACUGUGUGAGUAGGGCCGGUUGAUUGCGGCAGCCCAGGGCACGGGGAGACUGGACUGAUGGGGGCAGCACUGAGGUGGCGCAGCUGAGCCAGAGGAGGCCGCGACCGGAAACUGGCAAUGGUGGGGUCAGGGUCAGAGGAAUCAGAGGGGCUGCAGGUCCCUACCGAGUUCCUUUCUUCCGAGGCCGCGUGUGAGGCCUGAGGACACGGGCCCCUGAGGCAAAGGACAAGAACCUCAAGAUGGACCUCCUUCUCCAAGGACGUCUGGGUCUACACAUCUGACAGCCCGCAGGAGGGCAAAUGUUUUGAGAUUGCCCUUGGAGGUGUUAUUCUGACUGAACCUUUAAACUCAACUCCAACCAGGCAUCGGCUUUGCUGAGAACUCACUGACAGUCUCCUUUCUUCAGAAUCUUCCCACUCCCGGCAGAGAGGGGUUGUUCUCCUGGAGGAUCUGUCCUUUCCCCUGAAACAGAGUAUCAGGGCAUUCCGAGGCGAGAAUCACAUCUUUACAUUUCUUGCCAGCUUGAGUUAUUCAACGGGGAGCUUUUGUGGACAAUUGCAGGGUGAGCUUUGGCAGUCUGGGGCCAGCACCACAGUACAAGUCUUGUUCGGAGCACCACGCGUUCUCCUUGAGAUCUCUCUGCUAGUAUGAGAUGAAGAAAUGUCCUCUCACCCCUCCUGAGGCGUUCCAUUUUCCAGUGAGGAAUUUCAGGAUCAAAUGAACACACACAUGCACUCACACACAUACACUCACACAGAGAGACACACACACAGACGUACACUCCUUCCAAGAACGAACAGCAAUUCUUAGGGACAAUGCAGUCUAAAUCCACAUUAAGAAAGAGAACCGUUUCCCUAGAGAUGCCAGCCUGCCCUCUCUGGAGAUAACAUUUGACAUUAUUAUGCAAAGCAGUUUCAGUUCUCCUGUCCUGCUUUUGGAACAGUGUAAGAGGCCAAUGGUGUGAAAUGAAUAGGGCCCAUCACUCGCCUCGGCAAAAGACAGCCUACUUCUGAGGGCUCUGUCUUUGUCGGGCUAGAUCAAAUUCUUGAGCAGAUCUGCACUCUUUUCCAUCUCUGCAAAGGAAGUUUAAGAAUUGAUUAUCCUUCACCUCAAGCAAACCCUCAGGAGGGAGGGGGAUGAGUGGGUUUGUCCUUCUGGUUACAUAUGCUCUGUCCACUCAUUUUGAAUUUAAUGACACAGAGUAUGUUAUGACCUUUUGAUACAUUGUAAAAAAACCAAGGAAUCAUACAAUGCACACUUUCUGCACCUUGUUUUUUAAAAAACAUUGUAUUUUGAAGUAAUUAUAGACUCACAGUAAUUAUAGACUCAAAAGUAGUAUAUAGAGACCCCAUGGACCCUUCCCCUAAUGGUGACAUCUUCCAGUGGUGGCAUCUGUAGUACCAUAUCAAGACCAAGACAUUGCCAUUGGUGCAAUACUGUUAACUAGAUUAAAGCCCUUACUCAGUGUUCAUUAUUUUUUAUAUGCGCUCAUUUGUGUGUGUCAAUGUGUGUGUGUGUGUGCACGUGUGCGCAUGCGGGCACACUCCUAACUUGUUGGUCUGUUUUGGAGACCUUCGACUAGCAGGCGGUUCAGAUCUUCAUCCUCAUUCCCUCUUCUGUUAUCUGGAUGGACUAUCACUUGUUGGUCCCCUGUUGAAGUCCACGUUAGUUGUUAAUGGCUUUUCUCUCAUACAUAGAGUACUGCAAUAGCAUCCUGUACACAGAGCUGGGAGCACUUGUGCUAAGCCCAGCUCGAUAGUUGAAGGGAUAGGGCAAAGUGUAUGUGCCUUUGACAUUUUAAUAGAAAUUGCCAAUUGCCCUCCAGAAAAUCUGUGCCCCUGUCCUAUUUCACGGAACCUUCCUGAAGGGCAAUUCUGUGGGAUGGUGUCCAUUUCAACGCACCUUCCUAGCACUCAGUUUCACCAAACAUUUUAACUUUUGCCAAUCGGGGUGAAAAAAGAAUCUUUCGAUUUGCAUUUCUUUAAGGUGAUUAUUUUUUCAUAUGUUUGCAGGUAUUUGUAUUUCUUGUUUCCUAACUGCUUGUUCAUGCCCUUUGUCCUUAUUGGGUUGUUACUUUUUUUUUCUUAUUUAUUCUUCUAAACUCUUUAUCAGAGAAAAUUAACCGUUUGACUGUUACGUGUUGCAAAUAUUUUUAUUGAUUUGACUUUUGAAUUUAUGUCUUUUUAAUGUCCUAUAGAUGUUUUACAUUUUCAUGGAAUCAAAUUUAUUUAUCUUUUUUUUAUGGCUUCUGAGUUUUAUGUCAUGCUUAGAAGGGCCUUUCUUACUUCAAGAGUAUAAAAAAUUCACUCAUGUUUCCGUGCAGUUAUUCAAUGUUUUGUGUGUGUGUGUGUGUGUGUGUGUGUGUGCGUGUUUAAAUCUUUGGGCCAUCUGGUAUUUGUUCCUGAAUGGGAAGUGAGCUAGAGAUCCAGGUUAAUUUUUUCCCAAAUGGUUAACCAGUUAUCUCAGGGCUAUUUGAUUAUCCCCCAUGCCUUGAUUUCUUUGUUAUUUGCACAUGUUCUUGAGCCUAUUUCCGGAUUCUUUUAUCCCAUUGAUUUGUCUGUCUGUUCCCAAGUCAGGAUUUUGAUAGAUAUUGCAAAGAGGAGAAAGGAAAGUGGAAAAAGUGCCAUAAAAUAAUUUCAAAUAGAGCAGCAUGGGCAAUUCAAAGGAGGGAGAGAGUAUUUUUAGUCGGGGUGGUCUGGAAAAGCUUCUUGAAAGAGGGACAUUUAAGACAAAGCUUGAAGGAUGAGAAAAUGAGUCAAAGGGAAAGCAGAGCAAAGGCAGGAGGCAGGAGGUGGUGGACGUUUGUGAGCAUGUCUGUGGACUCUGCAGGGGAGCCCACGCUCCGCCCCUUGUGUUGUUAUGCAUGCAGGUCUUGAAUGCUGUCAACAGCAGACAGAAAUCUUUGUAUUACUCUCUCAAGGCAUUUUGAGGAUACACCACGAGAGCUACAAGUUGAGCAUCGCCUGUUUUCUAGGAAUAUCUAUUGUCAAUUCCAAUUCUCACCACCAUGAGCAAAGUUGAUAUUAUUAUCCCCAUUUUAGGAACGAAGAAUGAGGAAAAGCCCAAGUGAGUUAAAUAACAGCUCAUGGGUAGCAGCACUGAGAUUCAAAUCCAUGGCCAGCAAGUGAAAAAAAAGAAUAGAAAACAUCACAGUCGCUCACUCAUGAUAGGGGGUUGGUCACAGGUGCUGUCCUUGCACUGUCCUUGCUCUGCCCAUGUCAUUGGAUCCCUCUCCCUUCUCUGUGCUCACCAGCUGAAUUCCAGUACGAGUGCUUGCCCCAAAGUCAGCAUGUUGUUGGAAGUUGCAGGAGAGCCAGAGGACCCUAGGAAUUUGUGUCCCCUCCCUCCCUCCACAGCCCUGAACCGAUGACUGAUGGGGACGGGGAUAUACGUACUCUAGCUCUUUUCCCCCUCAUUGGGGUGACUUUGAGGUGACCCACAAUGCUCCCUAAACCCUGGGAAUGGUGCAUAAUUACCCUCUACGUGACUUGGAUCCAUAUUGCACCCUUACUGGUCCACCUUCCCCACUCCUCUAAAGACUCUUUUCCCUGGAAAUAGUUCCUAAUAAAUCACUUUUAUAUACAUCUUCCUCUAAGGCAGUAUUGUUUCAUGAAACCUGUUUCAGCUAUGUAGAGGGGUGGGUGAGUGUGUGAGUGUGUGUGUGUCUGUGUAUUGGUUGCCACUUAAUAUGCAUUUCUUACUGUGGAGCCAAAAAGUUCGAAAGCCAGUGUCCUAGACCACGUUAAGCUGUCUCUCUAUUUGUGUGGAUAGUUCACUGAGCUGGAAAGUUUCCUGGAUGCCCCAGAAUCAGAACUGCAGAUCAGAUUCCAGGUUUUAUGGUCUAUUGAGUACAGCGGCUUAAAAUACAUUGAAUAAAAAUGUAUUAGUCAUAGGUCUAGAGAAUGCCAUCAACUUUGAGCUGUUCUUUGAACUUCUUUGGUCAGUCUAGCUUGCCGAAUGGGUUUCAAAGUCCAGAUUUCCCUCUACUAAGGUUGAUAAAAGUGGUAUAAAAGUCUUGAUGGUUGCUUACUAAUUUUUUGCAAACUAGCAGAAAAAGGAAGACCAAGUUCGCCUUGCUGCAGAGCCAAAGGGCAUGCUUGCCCACAUGGCAGGGUAGUCUUCCCAGAGCUCCAGCCCAGGGCUUGGCUUAGAUGGAGAGAGGUGGGGUGUUCAGAAUUGCUCUGCAUUUACCUCUGAAGACAGUGCAGUUAAGGGAAGGGAAGAUAACACACGACAUACUCACUAACAACCAACAGGCCUUAGCAAAGAGAUCAGGCAAGUCUGUUUAUGCAAUCUGUGGGACCCUGGGGCAAGCCUGGCUGCCAGAAUCCAUGGAGGCCAGGCAUGGAGGGUGGAGGAUGCCAACUCCCAAAGUACACUGGAGAUGAAAUCUGGAAGGUGGUGCAAGGGAAAGGUAAGAUACCUAUCUUCCCAGGGAAACCUUGGGAGCCCUGCCAUCAUGGUGUCAGUUGAAGAUCCUUACUUGUUAGUACAUGAGGUGGAUGGGCUCCAUGUUUAAUUGUUUUCUUUUUGAGGAAGAUUAGCCCUGAGCUAAUUGCUGCCAAUCCUCCUCUU